UGUGCUUUGGGGAGGUAGCGCAUGACCAUCAUGAAUAUUUACAUGAGUUUGGUCAUGUUUGUUCUGAGGGUGAACAUCAUUGAUAAUGGUAUAGCUGGUUGUUUCUUCGUAUUGUGGAUCUCCAUGGAACUCUGAUACAAUCUAGACUAAUAUCACAUGUGUGAAAGGAGGUUUGUUGUAAUGUGAGGGAAACAGUCAAUACCAUAUAUUGGUUGUCAUUACAUUACUACCGAUGUAUCUAAAGUUUGAUUAAAUGGAGAUGAACCUACACGAACUUGGUUUUCUUUGUCACAUGUAAAACAAGGUCCAAGUUUACAUUAAUACCAUAAAAA